AUACAGUGGUAUAGGUUGUGUGUGGGUGGGUGGUUGUAAAGAGUUUAAUAAUUAUAUAUUUAAUUAUACAUGCUUAAAUCCCCACUUGAAUAUAUGCCUGAAAGACAUCAAACCAUCAAUCAAAUCUGAAGGACAUCAAAUUAGUCAUAAUGCAAUCUCAUAAGGUUUCAUUUUAAAUAAUUCAUUUAGAUUUCUCUUGAUCUUUGUUCCCUUAUUGUAAAAUAAGAAAACAAUUAAUUGCUUCUCAUAUAUACACUUUAGAGUCUUAAGUUAGUUGAUCCAUGCAUAACCCUUUUAUUAGAUUUAUUAAGGGCUAUUGUGAAGGGGAAAAGUUUCAACAAGGCUUUCAUGGAUUCCUUAAUUGUCAUUAAUAGCCAACUAUUUUAUAUGAAAGUUUAUGGUAAAGCCAAGGCAAUAAGAUUAUACAUUUUUGUUAUCCAUAAGGCACAUGCAGUACAUUAGAAGAAAAACAAAACUUCAUAUACAAAAUUCCUUUCUUUUCAUAAUGAAAGACUAGACAUUUUAAAGGGUUUUCUUGUCAAAAUACCACUUGAAUCUAGUUAAAACAUAUUUAAUAUAUUUCUAGGUUUGUAGGAAGCAAUGAAGAUAUCUAAAGGACAAAUAUAUAUAUAUAACAUUUAUAUAAGUAUCAUAAACAUCAUAAUGAAGAAUUAAACAAAAUAGUUGAGAUAAUAAAUGUUGCUUAGCUGGACACAAUCAGUCCACAAAGUAUAUUCACUUCAAAACACCAUGUUGUACAUGAUAAAAAAAAUUUAAUACUAUCUGAAUUUGAAAGAAAGAUUGCAGCCAUCAUGAUCUAGAACAAGAACACUGAUAGUGAGUGGUGAGUACAUGGAAGCUUGUAUUACCUGGGAGAUUAGAGCUUUGGCAUACUGCAAAAUAAUGCACUAAAAUGUCAACUUUCACAUUUAACUUGGAUAGUUAAACUGUGGGAAAAAAUUGUCUGAGGCACAUUGAUCCAUGACUCCUAACAAAGAAAAUGCCUAUGGUCUCUGGAGAAAACAUCCCAGGUUUAAACCUUCAGCAUUCUCACAAUUAAAGUUCUACUGAAAGUUUAUAUACAACAAAUUUACCUCUUAAACAUUCGAAGAAAGAAGUCUCCACUACUGAGAAGUAGGGCUGGGAAAAGCCAUAUGUUUAGCUACUCUGGGAUGUUAGAAGGAUUGUCAACCACUGCAACAAAGUGUUGCUAAUUUCCAUCACCUGGUCAUGUUACCAUAGGGCACAUUUCUUUCACAAUCAAAUCACCAUCUUGUCAUGUGCAAUUGACCAAUCAUUUGUGGAGAGAUGAUGCAAGUUAUGAAAAAUUCUAUUACUCAUUAACUUCCUCUCACCAACGUUAGGAUACAUUGAAACUUCUACCUGAAUGAACUACAUAAUGCCAAUUGCCAGAUAUUGAUCUUCCAAAUCCACCAUUCUUUACAACUUCGUAAAUUAGUGCCAUAAUAGAAAUCAGGACUCACCCUUCCAUCAUAUAUUGAUAUAUGGUAUAUUGAUUUAUGAUGGAAAUAAAUACUGAUUUAUACCUACCUACUUAAAUGUGGAGUCACAAAUUCCUAUUUUAAUCAAUGGCUAUAUUUCAUUAUUAUCAUUAUUUUACUCUAUAGUUGUAUGUCACCACAUGCUCUGAAUACAUUUGUACUUUAUUGCAUAAUAAGUUGCUCCUGGCUCAUCAUCCUUUUAUCCCCAUCUCAGUCUAAAUCAUUUCUAAAGGCGCUCUAUUUCUUUUUCACUGGAAGAUGAUAUUUCAAACUAGUAUCUGGGCACUGGGUGACCCUGCUUCUUAGUUAUGUCAGGAACCAACAUGGAAUUAUUAACUUAAAAUUGUGCAACAUUUGCUACUUAUAAAUUAUACAUAAAAAAAUUAAGGCUAGGACUCAUAUAAAUGAAUAAAUUAAUUGAGCAGAUACACACAAUACACACCGCACACAAAUGUAUAAACAUUUACACAUACUUUUAUGAAUUCACACACGUCCCUUCACACACAUCUAAAAACAUAUUUAUGUGCAUGGAUACGUAUAUAUAACCUUCACAUCAUACUCAUAUUAAUACUUCCAAUUCCCCUCUGUAGUAGACAAGCUAAUACUCCCCUCUCAAAGACAUCUCUUUCCAAGUCCAUGGAAUCUGUGACGAAGUUAGAGAUCUAGAGUUGGGAUGAAGAUUCUGAUUCUAACAUAACCACAGGGUUCCAAUAAGAGGGAGAGAAAACAGUCACAGUCACAUAGAGAAAUGUAAGCAGAAGCCAGUUAAAUAGAGUUGAUGCUGCUACACUGCUGGCUUUUAAACAGCAUUAGGGCAAAGGGAAGAACUGUAGUUAACCUCUGGAAAAGUUAAGAAAACAGAUUCUUCCCUACAGCCUGCAGAAGAAAUUAGUUCUUCUGACACCUUGACUUUAGCCCAGUAGAGUCUAAUUUUGGAUUUCUCACUUCCAGAAAUCCAUUAGUGUCCACAACAAUCUCAGAUUUCGAAGAGAGAAGAACAAUACUGAAAAAAGAAAAUGACUGAAUUGUGUGCCUGGAUUCAGCCUCAACCGAAAGGAACAAAAAGCACAAAAUGCAGUCUCAUGAAAUAUAUGCUGCUAUGGAGACUUAAGGAAUGACAUCAUUCUGCCUAGCUGGAUGACUCCUGGCUUCUGCUAGUUUUGAGAGCUCUGCUGUAACUUUGCUGUCAUAUUUUUCUUAUCAUUUCAUGCACAUCCAUCUUUUUUCUUCCUUUCUAUAUGUAAAAACUAAACAAUAAAGUAGUUAAGCAUAAUAUGUGCCCAAUCCUUCAUCUUCUAAUCAUCUGUUAUAUUUUAUA